UUACCUGGGCUUAAAUGUAGAGUGCAUUCAGCUGAAAGGCUGAUUUCCUUCGGGACUCUCUGCAAGGUGCUGCAUGGUUGUCGUCAGCUCGUGCCGUGAGGUGUCGGGUUAAGUCCCAUAACGAGCGCAACCCUUAUCGUUAGUUGCCAGCGGGUCAUGCCGGGAACUCUAACGAAACUGCCGGUGUAAACCGAGAGGAAGGUGGGGAUGACGUCAAAUCAGCACGGCCCUUAUGUCCAGGGCUACACACGUGUUACAAUGGCCGGUACAGAGGGCAGCUAUGCCGCGAGGCAAUGCGAAUCUCGAAAGCCGGCCUCAGUUCGGAUCGGAGUCUGCAACUCGACUCCGUGAAGCUGGAUUCGCUAGUAAUCGCGCAUCAGCCAUGGCGCGGUGAAUACGUUCCCGGGCCUUGUACACACCGCCCGUCAAGCCAUGGAAGUUGGGGGUACCUGAAGUCCGUAACCGCAAGGAGCGGCCUAGGGUAAAACCAGUGACUGGGGCGAAGUCGUAACAAGGUAGCC
rnacentral:rRNA from 1 species